UACGGGGGGGGCAAGCGUUGUUCGGAAUUACUGGGCGUAAAGGGCUCGUAGGCGGCCAACUAAGUCGGAUGUGAAAUCCCCAGGCUUAACCUGGGAACUGCAUCCGAUACUGGAUGGCUUGAAUCCGGGAGAGGGAUGCAGAAUUCCAGGUGUAGCGGUGAAAUGCGUAGAUAUCUGGAGGAAUACCGGUGGCGAAGGCGGCAUCCUGGACCAACACUGACACUGAGGAGCGAAAGCCAGGGGAGCAAACGGG
rnacentral:rRNA from 1 species